rnacentral:misc_RNA from 1 species
UCACUAAUCAAGCCCGGCUUGCUGUUGGAAUUUUAGUCGUUAAAACGACAGGUCCUAAAGAUAAUGACGGCGUCAGUUGGACCCUAGAUGCAACGAGCUUUAACCAGCACGCGUUUUAGUCGGUCCUUUUGACCCGGUCUUUUUUUAACCAAUUUUAUCAGGUUGACCUCGGAUCAGGUAGGAAUACCCGCUGAACUUAA